UUGUCUCAUCAUCAUUUCAUAAUGAAUGCGACGCAUUCUAUCGUGACGACAAUAAAAUAUACAUUUAUCAUCUGCGCGAUCUCAUCGCCGUUCUCAAAAGCUUGCAUAAAGCAUAUGCCGGCGCCGGCAACGCGAACGUCCGCCGGCCCUGCACACAACACGUUUCACAGGUGACGAUAUGCGCCCCAUAAUAGAUGAAAUAAUAUAUUAUGGGAUGUGCGCCAUGAAUUGUUAAUGAUCCUUCCGCAGGUUCACCUACGGAAA
rnacentral:misc_RNA from 1 species